rnacentral:lncRNA from 1 species
GCAAACUGGAGGAAAUAAAGGAACCAAACCAGCCAGACAAAGUUUUCUCACAUAACUCGCCCUCCAGCACUGUCACAGGUUCCAAAAAGAUUAAUUAUAAAGUUAGGGGUCACCAUGCCCUGCUAUAAGCAUCAUGAUCGCACAAAUGAGGAGUGGGUGACACCAUUUUGCAAAAAAGACUUGAUAAAUUAAUUCAGAAUCGCGCAAACUGAAGAGGAAGUAAAGGAACCAAACCAGCCAGACAAAAUGUUCUCAACAUAACUCGCCCUCCAGCACUGUCACAGGUUCCAAAAAGAUUAAUUAUAAAGUCAGGGGUCACCAUGCCCUGCUAUAAGCAUCAAGAUCGCACAAAUGAGGAGUGUGUGACACCAAUUUGCAAAAAAGACUUGUUAAAUUAAUUCAGAAUCGCGCAAACUGAAGAGGAAGUAAAGGAACCAAACCAGCCAGACAAAAUGUUCUCAACAUAACUCGCCCUCCAGCACUGUCACAG